rnacentral:misc_RNA from 1 species
GCCAAUAGUUUCUAAGUGCAUAAUUGUACUUGUGAUGUGAAUCAGAAUGUCCUGGUUGUAGCAUCAUUAGAGGAAUAAAUUAUGCUGUUUUAGUGCACAAAAAUAAUUGAACUUCUGGGGUGCUUUGGAGAAUCUCUUUGUUGACGAUGUUAUCUUUUUUCUCCACUUGCUACAUGUAUCAGUCCUUGAUAUGUUGUUGAAUUGGUUGUAGAUUGAAAUGCAAACUUGAAUUUUAUGCACAGUGCAUAAUUUGAAUCUAUGGAGCUCUGAACAACUCAUAUUGAUUCCUUGCUUACACCUAUGGCGCUUAAUGUUUUGCUUUUAAUCUACAGUUUCUGCAGAGUAAAUCUUUAUGUUGUGGAUACCCCUGAAAUCUAAUUGUUUCCUCAAAUAGUGAAAAAUUAAUCAUAUUUUUCAA